rnacentral:rRNA from 1 species
UACGAAGGGGGCUAGCGUUGUUCGGAAUUACUGGGCGUAAAGGGCGCGUAGGCGGUACUUCAAGUCAGGCGUGAAAGCCCCGGGCUCAACCUGGGAACCGCGCUUGAGACUGGAGAACUAGAGUUCGGGAGAGGAUGGUGGAAUUCCCAGUGUAGAGGUGAAAUUCGUAGAUAUUGGGAAGAACACCGAUGGCGAAGGCAACCAUCUGGACCGACACUGACGCUGAGGCACGAAAGCGUGGGGAGCAAACAGG